rnacentral:rRNA from 1 species
UACGUAGGGGCUAGCGUUAUCCGGAAUUACUGGGCGUAAAGGGUGCGUAGGUGGUUUCUUAAGUCAGAGGUGAAAGGCCACGGCUCAACCGUAGUAAGCCUUUGAAACUGGGAAACUUGAGUGCAGGAGAGGAGAGUGGAAUUCCUAGUGUAGCGGUGAAAUGCGUAGAUAUUAGGAGGAACACCAGUUGCGAAGGCGGCUCUCUGGACUGUAACUGACACUGAGGCACGAAAGCGUGGGGAGCAAACAGGAUUAGAUACCCCUGUAGUCCCUGAG